rfam:Limnothrix rosea IAM M-220 NIES-208_Scaffold_45, whole genome shotgun sequence.
UGGUAGAUGCACCCUGAUUGAUAUCCUCGGCUAAAUAGUCUCGGCUGAGGAUUUUUUUU